rnacentral:rRNA from 1 species
GAAGAACCUUACCCAGGCUCGAACGGCAUUGGACAUCCGGCGAAAGCCGGCUCCCGCAAGGGCCGAUGUCGAGGUGCUGCAUGGCUGUCGUCAGCUCGUGUCGUGAGAUGUUGGGUUAAGUCCCGCAACGAGCGCAACCCUUGUCCGCUGUUGCCAUCAGGUUAAGCUGGGCACUCUGCGGAGACUGCCGGUGAUAAACCGGAGGAAGGUGGGGAUGACGUCAAGUCAGCAUGGCCUUUAUGUCUGGGGCUACACACGUGCUACAAUGGCAGAUACAAACCGUCGCGAGACCGCAAGGUGGAGCUAAUCGGAGAAAGUCUGUCUCAGUUCGGAUUGCAGGCUGCAACUCGCCUGCAUGAAGUUGGAAUCGCUAGUAAUCGCGGAUCAGCACGCCGCGGUGAAUACGUUCCCGGGUCUUGUACACACGC